rnacentral:rRNA from 1 species
CGUAGGGGGCUAGCGUUGUCCGGAAUCAUUGGGCGUAAAGCGCGCGUAGGCGGCCCGGUAAGUCCGCUGUAAAAGUCAAAGGCUCAACCUUUGAAUGUCAGUGGAUACUGCCUGGCUAGAGUCCGGAAGAGGCGAGUGGAACUCCUGGUGCAGCGGUGGAAUGCGCAGAUAUCAGGAAGAACACCGACGGCGAAGGCAGCUCGCUGGGACGGUACUGACGCUGAGGCGCGAAAGCGUGGGGAGCGAACAGGAUUAGAUACCCUGGUAGUCCACGCCGUAAACGAUGGGCACUAGGUGUGGGAGGUGUCGACUCCUCCCGUGCCGGCGCUAACGCAUUAAGUGCCCCGCCUGGGGAGUACGGCCGCAAGGCUA